UAGCCAGACUGCCCCGGUAACGGGGAGGAAGGAGGGGAUGAUGUCAGGUCAGUAUUACCCUUACACCUUGGGCUACAAACACGCUACAAUGGCCGGUACAGAGGGCUGCCAACCCGCGAGGGGGAGCAAAUCCCAUCAAAGCCGGUCCAAGUUCGGAUUGCAGGCUGAAACUCGCCUGCAUGAAGCUGGAAUCGCUAGUAACGGUAGGUCAGCAUACUACCGUGAAUACGUUCCCGGGUCUUGUACACACCGCCCGUCAAGUCAUGAAAGUCGCCAAUACCCGAAGCCCCCGCACCAUUGCUGCGCAAUUAUGCGGAACUUUCAUUUUCCAUUUCUCAUUUUCCAUUCAUUUUCCAUUUCUCAUUUUCCAGACAAAUCAGUUUGUUAAAUGCUAAUUGUUAAAUAACUUGGCAAAUGUUAAAUGUAAAUUGUGAAAUUUCCGCGCGCGGUAGCGGCGCGGGGUCUAAGGUAGGGGAGAUGAUUGGGACUAAGUCGUAACAAGGUAUCCGUACGAGAACGUGCGGAUGGAUUACCUCCUUUCU
rnacentral:rRNA from 1 species